rnacentral:rRNA from 1 species
UAACACCGGCAGCCCAAGUGGUGGCCAUUUUUAUUGGGCCUAAAGCGUUCGUAGCCGGCCUGAUAAGUCUCUGGUGAAAUCCCACAGCUUAACUGUGGGAAUUGCUGGAGAUACUAUCAGGCUUGAGGUCGGGAGAGGUUAGAGGUACUCCCAGGGUAGGGGUGAAAUCCUAUAAUCCUGGGAGGACCACCUGUGGCGAAGGCGUCUAACUGGAACGAACCUGACGGUGAGUAACGAAAGCCAGGGGCGCGAACCGG